rnacentral:rRNA from 1 species
UACAGAGGGUGCGAGCGUUGUCCGGAAUCACUGGGCGUAAAGGGCGCGUAGGCGGCCUGGCAAGUCUGUGGUGAAAGCUCGUGGCUCAACUGCGAGUCGGCCAUAGAUACUGCGAGGCUCGAGUCGACUAGAGGCAGAUGGAAUUCCGGGUGUAGCGGUGGAAUGCGUAGAGAUCCGGAAGAACACCUGUGGCGAAAGCGGCGCACUGGACCACAACUGACGCUGAGGCGCGAAAGCGUGGGUAGCAAACAGG